rnacentral:rRNA from 1 species
GUGAGGAAUAUUGCGCAAUGGAGGCAACUCUGACGCAGCCAUGCCGCGUGCAGGAAGAAGGCGCUACGCGUUGUAAACUGCUUUUAACCGGGAAGAAACCCCAGGACGUGUCCUGGGUUGACGGUACCGGAGGAAUAAGCACCGGCUAACUUCGUGCCAGCAGCCGCGGUAAUACGAAGGGUGCAAGCGUUAUCCGGAUUCAUUGGGUUUAAAGGGUGCGUAGGCGGAGCGUUAAGUCAGUGGUGAAAUCCUGCAGCUUAACUGUAGACUUGCCAUUGAUACUGGCGCUCUUGAGUGCGCUUGAAGUGGGCGGAAUGUGCCGUGUAGCGGUGAAAUGCUUAGAUAUGGCACAGAACACCAGUUGCGAAGGCAGCUCACUAAGGCGAUACUGACGCUGAGGCACGAAAGCGUGGGGAUCGAACAGGAUUAGAAACCCCUGUAGUCC